CUUAGCAUUCCCCAAACUAGUUAGAUCUAUCAAACCUGCUUUGCCCAUGAACACCCCUUAACAUCCUGAGAGGCUGGUGUUCCGUGGACGCCUCUGGUAAACAGCGGUUGGGUGGAGCUAACGGCCGAGUUCUUAGCCCAGCCCUGUCAAUAAGCUAAGUGGCCUUGGCUGAAUUGCAUGCCCACCGGGGCCUGCUCACCUUCCUGUUGGCACGGGAUAAGGAAGUCUGUCCUGCCUGGUCUGAGGGUUUUCCAGACAUCCAGGAAUGGAAAUUCCCCAUUUUUCCUAGGUGAUCUCUUCCAGUGUUCAGCAUUUGAGGCAUCCUGUCUCCUUUGGCUAUGAGGUCAAGAUGGUCACAUCUGCUUCUCCAGGUGGAGCUCCAACUCCAUUAGCUUCUCCCCAGGUGGGUGGAGGAGCACGAAGGUACCUGGUCCUCCUCCUUCCGUCAUGACCCAGCCCUUCCCCUUUCCCUUGCUCAGGGUCCUGGGUCCUCCUCCAGGACAGUCAGGCUGGCUUGGGGAGGAUGAGGAGGGUCACGCUGCAGCAUUUCCCUUUCCAUGUUGGGCAGUUGGUCUGGUUGGUGGUUCAGCUCCAGGAAACGUGUCAUCUGGAUCAGGGCGAUUCUCGGUGUCCCCUCUGCUCCCUGAGCUGCAGAGACACAGGGAAGACUGUGAAGAUUCUGGGGCAGACAGUGCUGGACCUGAUUCCCUGAGAACACCUCUGCCCCAUGCAAGUUUCUGAGAACGCCACCCGGAAGGGUGCGCUUUAGAGCCACAGUGGUUGGGCCAAGCCUUUGGGGCCCAGCUCUGAGAGCCACAGACUCUUCUUCUUGCUCGUCUUGUCUCCACCAGAGCCGCCUUUGCCACAGGAGCAGAGCCACAAACAGAAACGGAGCCAGCAUGGCGGAGACUGGAGCCAGGGCCCAUGAGCCGCUUUCAUCUUCUGGAAAAGCACUGGAAGGAGCCAGGGCCGGAUGGGAAGAACACAGGAGAGGGAGGUUGGAGAUGGACAGGCUGAAGACCGCUGCCCCCCAGCCCUCGCUUGUUUCACAGGUGGAGAAGCCGAGCCAAGUUGGCCACCCUCAGACCACGGCUGUUGGUAGCCCAGCUGGAACUAGAAAUGUCAUCUCGGGCCAGGGAUUUAGCUCAGUGGUUUUGCCGCCUGCUGCGCAGCGCAAUUACCCGAGUUCGAUCCCGGUACCAAAAAAAAGUAGAAAUGUCAUCUCCAGGCUCUGCAGCCCCAGCCCCUGUCCUCCUCCCCCUUCCCGAGUGCUGUGCCCACAGCAAGAAAGAGGACACUGCGGGUCAGGGACUCCGCCUUGGCAUCGGGCUCCACUACCAUCAUUCCUUGUGCUUUCAGUGUUCCUCUCUCUGGACCAUCUGCUCUUUAUCUUAACUUUAAAAAGGUCUGGAAUGUUCCAGCCUAAAACUGUGAUCAUUCUGUCAUUUAUAUUGCGCUUGCAAACUCCAUGGGAAUACGUAGGUAGCCUCCUCCCAGGGUGCACAGCACCGGUGUCUGACGUUCAUCCCUGCCCUUUACGUCCUGCAGGCACGAAGGGCCAGAACUGAGCAGAGGGAAGGGAGGUGCGGGGACCAGAGCAGAGCCUGGGCCUCACCUCUUCUCGGAGGACUCCUUGCCAGGGGGUCUCUGGGGUCGCGCUGCUGGGCCCUGACUCGUCGUUGCUUGGGGACCCUGGUCUCCAGCAGCGCUGCUGAGCUCCGCCUCGGUGCUUCCUUCCACAG
rnacentral:lncRNA from 1 species